AUUAGGACUCACCUUAUUCUUCACUUGUUUUCUCAGAGCAAAAUAUCUUGCAAAACCGCCAAGAGACCAAAACUCAACGCUGAACAUCCACUUCUUCAUUGACACAAUGUUAUCAAACAGGCAAAGUGAAGUCACGGUACGUAGAAGCGUUCGACUGACCAACGCAGGAUAUUACAACCAUCUAGGAAAACCAGUCAUUUCCUACAAGGAGACGGCUACGUACAAAAAAAGGAGGUUUUCUCCAGACGGUCUGAGAAAGUCCAUCGCCAAGAAAAUCAGCAUGGCCAGCGGGAUCAUAGGGGCCAAUUGGGCCAUAGGGGCCAACGGGGCCAGCGGGGCCAACAGGGACAGCUGGGCCAGCGGGGCCAACAGGGACAGCAGGACCAAAGAGGCCAGCGGGGACAACAAGGACAGCGGGGGCAACGGGGCCUGCUGGAACGGCAUUAUUCGCUGGCUGUUCUUCAUGCUGCUCAUGUGUCUUGGAAUUGUAUACUUCACCCUGGCUCUAUCCAUGAACAGCAACUCUCUUGACUCAGGACCCUCAGCGUCACUUUUCCCAUCAACCAAGCAGGAUAAGGCCUUGAGCACAUAUGAAUGGAUGGGGGAGCGGAUGAGAAUGCUGCAGGACGAGGUGCUGAGGUUAAAGUGGGUCAAGGAGCCACCAGGGGACAUUAUGCCCAACGUUGCCCUGGAGUCGCAAGGGGCCCUUGUUUUAGCUCGAUUGUCCUCGGAAACAUACCAAUGCACCGGACCAACCUGUUUUCUUUCAUCCCUGAUAUCUCUUUGGAGACAACCUGUAGACCCAAGUAUUGUGACUCAGGGAGGACCAAUCGUGGAUGGACGCUGCUGGCCAUUUGAUGGUGAGCGUGGACAUUUAGUCAUAGCCCUGUCCCACCCAGUGACCAUCAGCCAUGUGACACUGGGUCACAUUUCAAAGACCGUGUCGCUAACUGGCAGCAUCUCGAGCAGCCCAAAGAUGUUUGCUGUCUAUGGCAUGAAGACUAAAGAGGAUGAAGGUACCCUACUAGGAACCUUUCUUUAUGAUCAGGACGGAGAGUCAUUGCAGACUUUCAAACUGUCUGAUCAGGAAGCAGGUGUCUUCAGCCAUGUGAAGCUGCAAGUCGAGAGCAACUGGGGAAAUCCUGGCUACACUUGCGUGUACAAUUUCAGGGUCUAUGGGACCAUAUAGAAGACGGUGUUUGCUCCUAUAUGGGAUAUGGUGUACUGUGAGUGUUCACCAUACGAACCUGCUGGUUAGAGGUGUGGUGUGGUGUACUGUGAGUGUUCACCAUACGAACCUGCUGGGGAGAGGUGUGGUGUACUGUGAGUGUUCACCAUACGAACCUGCUGGGGAGAGGUGUGGUGUACUGUGAGAGUUCACCAUACGCACCUGCUGGUUAGAGGUGUGGUGUGCUGUGAGUGUUCACCAUACGCACCUGCUGGUUAGAGGUGUGGUGUGCUGUGAGAGUUCACCAUACUUCCAUAGUUUGAGGGCUGCACGGUGGCAGAGUGAUCAGCACUGUAGCCGCACAGAGGAAGGACUGGUGAUCGGUCUCUGUCUGUGUAGAGUAUUCUCUCCGUGCAUGCAUGGGUUUUACCAGGUACUCUGGUUUCCUCCCAUACACAAAUAAUAAUAAUGAUUAUUGUUCAAUAAAAAUCAAAAAAAUA